rnacentral:rRNA from 1 species
UACAGAGGUCUCAAGCGUUGUUCGGAUUCAUUGGGCGUAAAGGGUGCGUAGGUGGCGCCGUAAGUCAGGUGUGAAAUUUCGAGGCUUAACCUCGAAACUGCAUUUGAUACUGCGGUGCUUGAGGACUGGAGAGGAGACUGGAAUUCAUGGUGUAGCAGUGAAAUGCGUAGAGAUCAUGAGGAAGGCCAGUGGCGAAGGCGGGUCUCUGGACAGUUCCUGACACUGAGGCACGAAGGCCAGGGGAGCAAACGGG